GUGAGACUCAUCACCGUGAUCAAGAUCCUCCACGAGACUGUGAUAUGUGCUGGAUGCUGCUGUUCUCUCUGUGUCCAUCGUUUGCUGUUCUCUCCUCUCUCCUCUCCUCUCUUGUGGUUUAUCGCCUCUGUAAUAAAAAAGCUAAAGAAACUCAAGUUGAUGAGCGACAGCCUGAAACCAGAGGACUGAAUCAGGAUGAAGAUGUGUGUUACGCUGCGCUGGAGAUCCGUCAGACAUCAAACAGACCAAAGAAGAAGAAAACCCAGAGUUCUGACUUCAGCACCUAUUCUGCCAUCAAUACUUCGAGGGCGUCGAGGGCCUGAAACUAAAGAAAAUGAAUCGUCUGAUGAUGAUCGAUAAUCAAUAAUCUGUAGGGAUGUAUAGAGACCAUUCUGUCCAUCAUUGUUAGUGAUAUGUAUGAAAAUGUAUAAGCAUCAAAUACAGGGUGUCUUUGUUUGGUUGGUUUUUCUAGCUGAAAGCAUGUUGUCACUUCUCCUACAUACAGUUGUUGAUUCCACUUCCACUGCUUCUUACUGUUUCUCACUGUCCUAUCAUCGCUGUUAGUGUCAGUCACCACAGUGUACAGUCAUUCUUAUGUGUAUUGUAUUUAAACUCUAUAUCUCUUGUAUCUUAUUUCCUUGCCAUAGAAGUAAUAAAAAAAUA